GUCUACGUCCAUGCCACCCUGAACAAGCCCAAUGUCUGAUCUCAGAAGCUAAGCAGGGUUGAGCCUGGUUAGUACUUGGAUGGGAGACCACCUAGGAAGACCAGGUGCUGUAGGCA
rnacentral:rRNA from 1 species